rnacentral:rRNA from 1 species
UGAUCCCUGGCUCAGGAUGAACGCUGGCGGCGUGCUUAACACAUGCAAGUCGAACGAUGACCCGGUGCUUGCACCGGUGAUUAGUGGCGAACGGGUGAGUAACACGUGAGUAACCUGCCCUUAACUCUGGGAUAAGCCUGGGAAACUGGGUCUAAUACCGGAUAUGACUCCUCAUCGCAUGGUGGGGGGUGGAAAGCUUUAUUGUGGUUUUGGAUGGACUCGCGGCCUAUCAGCUUGUUGGUGAGGUAAUGGCUCACCAAGGCGACGACGGGUAGCCGGCCUGAGAGGGUGACCGGCCACACUGGGACUGAGACACGGCCCAGACUCCUACGGGAGGCAGCAGUGGGGAAUAUUGCACAAUGGGCGCAAGCCUGAUGCAGCGACGCCGCGUGAGGGAUGACGGCCUUCGGGUUGUAAACCUCUUUCAGUAGGGAAGAAGCGAAAGUGACGGUACCUGCAGAAGAAGCGCCG